GGAAACCACGUGAUCAGCCACGAGAGCAGUGCCGAGUCGCUUUGAUAAUAUGAACCGCAGAUGCUGGACAAUCCGAGAUAACAUGGUGCAGAGCUGGAUGAACACAGCAGGUCAAGCAGCAUCAGAGGAGCAGGAAAGCUGACGUUUCGGGCCUUGAUCCUUUGCUGAGACCAAGAUUUGUGCAAUUGAGAUACCAGCGAUCGUUGCCAAAGCCCUGUUGCCUGUGGAGAAGGUGAUGUUUAACUUUCGUGUGCUGCUGCAGUUUGUAUGAUAAAGGUGCUCCCACAAUGCGGCCAUUUGAGAAGUUACAGAUCAUUCAUUGAGCAAUACUGAAGAGCUGAUGGUGACUACGCGCUGGUCGCUGUUAUCAAUCCUGUCACGGACAGAUGCAUCUGCAGCUGGGAAAUUUGUGACGAUGAGACCAGCUAUGUUUUUCCCUUCUGUUGGUUGUGGCACCACCUGCUGCGGUCCCAGCCAGGCAGCUUUUUCCUUUGGGACCUGUCCAGCUCGAUUGGUAAUCCUGCUGCAAACUACUCCUGAUGGUGGGCAUUGAGUACAAGUAGUGCCAUUCACACUCGCAGUGCUUCCUCCAAGUGCUGUUCAACAUGGAGUUUUUUUUCAAUUAAAAUUCUCUCUUGGGAUAUGGAAAUCACCAGCUGGACCAGUGUUUAUUGCCCAGAAGGCAGUUAAUAGUAACCGCAUUGCUGUGGGUUUGGAGUCAUAUGUAUUGCAGACCAGGAUAUUGCAAGUGGACUUUCAGGUGGGAAUCUCAAUAAUUGUAGCACCAGACUCUGACAGAAUUACUCAAUUCAUCAGGACCUGGAUAUUCGCAUUAUAUUUCCACAAUUUUACUUCUGCACCGUUCUUAGUCUUUCGAGCCCUCUGAAAGACUGAGUUACAGAUCUAUACAAUGCCUGUCCUUCCUCCCUGGCUCUCCCACCUCUCUCUUAUGGUAGGUUUGUGCAAACACUGACUGGAUCCCUUACCUGGAGGAUAUUUAUUUAUGAAUUUGUUCUAAUGAUAAUCCAGCAUAUUCCCCAAGUAUCACUCCACAAAUGUCCAGAGGAUUUCUCAGUUUCACAAUCUGUGUGUGUUCUUCUGGUUCCUCGCUCACUGCACUUGCUUUCUGUUUGAAAGCUUAGUCUACAGUUGGAGAAUUCAAACAGGAACACAUCCAGAUCUGACAGUUACUUUGUUCAUCACAACUCAAUUACCUCAGGAUUUUGAACACUGAAGGAAAAAGCAGCACUCACAGUGGGGAGAAAUGCACAUGGUCUGUGAAGAUUCAUCUGAAAUGUCCUUACACCAGCUCAGUGACACUGGGGAGAGACCAUUCACCUGCUCUAAAUGUGGGAAAGCAUUCACUCAGUCAUCCAAACUGUUAACACACCAGUGGGUUCGCAAAGCAGCACAGUUGAAGGAUUUUGCUGUCACUGUCACUAUCAAAUGAACCAUGGUUUUGGGCUGUUUGUACUGAUGUUACUGAUCCCGGUUCAAUUCAAGGUACUGGUAUUGUGGAUAAAAUGUUAAUCAGUUGUGUAUCUGUCAGGUAGAGCUUGGAAAUAGUCACGUUGUCAUGACACAUCGACACAUUCACACUGACGAAAGACUAUCCACCUGCACGGUAUGUGAAAAGGGAUUUCCCGGUUCAUCAGGACUGGUUAACUAGCAGCAAAUUUCUGAGUAACUGUUAAGUUGGUUUUUGAUUCUGCUGUUAGCUAUAUACAAACCAUGUUUUUUGGGCUUGUUUCUGGAGACCAUAGGAUCCCUCCGGUGUGGAAGCAGACCAUUUAGCCCAUCAAGUCCACACUGAACUUAUGAAGAGUGUCUUACCCAGACCCUGCCUGCGUGGGUUUCCUCCAGGUUCCUCCCACAGUCCAAAAAUAUGCAAAUUGGGUAGAUUGACUAUGCUAAAUUGCCCGUAGUGUCACGUGUGUAAAAUGCAGGGACUGGGUAGGGUGGGAUGCUCUUUGGAGGGUUCGUGUGGACUCGAUGGACUGAAUGGCCAUCUUCCACACUGUAAGAAUUCUAUGAUGAUCUUGAUGGCCCUUUAUUUGUUAGUUAUGUCUGGUCAAUAUGUCUGUGCACCUUUUACAAUUACGGAUUCUAUUGCUCUCCACAGACGUGUUUCAAUUUUUAAUAGAUAUUUGUUUAUUGGAAACAAUGCAAUCUUUCCUUUUGAUUUCUAUCCACAAAAUGAAAGUUUUAAAUCGAAACAUAAAAUUGGGAUGAGUCCUGCACUACAAUCCCUGAUUGGGGAAAAUGCAAUCAGCUAUGAAACCUGGUGACCAUUGUGACUCUGUCCGGGGGAAAUGCAGUCUCCUCAGAUCCUUACCUGUUGUCCGUAGCAAUGAUGGAUCUCAUGAUGAAUACAUAUACACCAGAUAUCACACAAUGUCUUGGUUUAUUUUCUAUUUAUUCUUCUGUCCAUUACUCCACAGAGACUGAGAUAACGGUCUGGGGACCUAGGUUUGAAACCCACCAUUCCAGAUGGUAGAAUUUGAGUUUAAACAAAAAAAUCUGAAAUAAGAAUCUAAUGAUGACUGUAAAUCUGUUUUCAUUGUUGGAAAAACCUAUGUCUUUUAGGGAAGGAAACUGCCAUUCUUGUCCAGGGAUAUCAAGAUCCCAUGAAUGAAUUUUUAAAAAUUAAUUUUAAAUAAAACUCCUGCAAAUACA